UGGGCAUAGGGAUGGACCCAUUCAAUGUUUCAUCAAGAGAGACAAAUCUAAGCUGACAUACCACCUCUUCCUUUGCCUUAGUCCUGUCUUGCUUGUUGAAAAUGGAAAGUUUCUUCUCUCUGCAAAACGGACAAGAAGAACAACUUGCACAGAGUAUAUUAUAUCAAUGAAUACAAAUAACAUAUCAAGAUCUAGUAGUACUUACAUUGGAAAACUGAGGAUAAAUGGCUUCCUCUCCACACUCUUGCUGCAUGUGGAGAAUUUUACCUUUUAGAUUCUCUGUUGAAGCACAAUGUUGAUAUCAAUGUUCUGAAAAAUGAAGAUUCAGGGCCAUUGAAGGAAUCCACAUCCUUGAUUGAGCACCAACUAGUCAAGCUGACAGAGCAAUCACUUCUUCUCAAGAAAAGGACAAACCAAACAAAGCCCAGGCCUAUAGUAGUGAGAUUGGAUGAUGGAGAUGUGGCACCAAUUUCAGUCAAAAGACCAGAGCCAAUGGAUGAUAUUGUAUUGAAUUACAAGCAAGUGGGAAUGAGAACAUUAUUGAAAGUAUUCUCCUUAGUUGGCUCAUGUUGGAGUAUUCUGCCUUCUUCCUCUGUAUCUUCUAAUGGCUAUGUGGUGUUAUCAUUAUUGAAAGGUAGUAAUUCAAAUUUCAACGAAUUCUAUGUUUAUCAAAAAUAAAAAAUUAUCAGCAAUAUAAUGAUCAGGUAAGGAUUAGUUCUAAAUUAUUUUACUAUAUGGCUGCUUUGAUGGGGAUGUCCGCCAGCAAUGCAUAUAAUCAAAAUUCAAAUCAAUGAAAGAAACUAAAAGAUUAUUGCAUGAUUUCUAUAUUGUUAUAGUAUCUGUCUAAAUAUUUCAAAUAAUUUAUAUCCAGCUACAUUUUCUUUUUUAGAUGACUACGUACCAAUCUGCAUUUAAAACUUGUCUUAAAAUAAGCUGUUG